CAGGACCCCCUCCCACAUUUAAAAAUUAUGGAAGACCUCAAAAAAGAGCUUUUGUUUGAACAUGCAUGAACCAUGACUGCCAGAAAGAGGACCUUCCCAUGGGAGGAGCAACUCCCCAGAAAUUUGCACAGCUCCCAUCCUACAAGAGUUCCACAAGUCUUUGAAAAUGUAGAUGUGCUCCCUGCAGUGAGAUUACAGUAUUAUAUGCUCUAAUUGGAAAAAGUCCAGCACUAUCACAAUGGAGGAAUGGUUGGUGAAGAUGAUGAUGAUUUCAAAAAGUAGAAUAACAACCUGCCCCCCCCCAUUUUCCUAACUGAGAUUUGAAAGAAGAGAAAGCAGUAUGUGAGUUAUAAAUAUUGUGAAUGUGAAAUUUUAGCGUAAUUCCAAUAUGUAAUAAAUUCUAAUAUCUUUCAA